UUGCUACGAAAGGGCACUCUAAUGGGACUGCCGGUGACAAACCGGAGGAAGGUGGGGAUGACGUCAAGUCCUCCAUGGCCCUUAUAGGUGGGGCUACACACGUCAUACAAUGGACCGGUACAGAGGGUAGCCAACCCGCGAGGGGGAGACCAAUCCCACAAAGCCGGUCGUAGUCCGGAUCGCAGUCUGCAACUCGACUGCGUGAAGUCGGAAUCGCUAGUAAUCGUGGAUCAGAAUGUCACGGUGAAUACGUUCCCGGGUCUC
rnacentral:rRNA from 1 species